rnacentral:rRNA from 1 species
AGAUUGAACGCUGGCGGCAUGCCUUACACAUGCAAGUCGAACGGCAGCACGGACUUCGGUCUGGUGGCGAGUGGCGAACGGGUGAGUAAUAUAUCGGAACGUACCCUGGAGUGGGGGAUAACGCAGCGAAAGUUGCGCUAAUACCGCAUACGAUCUACGGAUGAAAGUGGGGGCUCGCAAGACCUCAUGCUCGUGGAGCGGCCGAUAUCUGAUUAGCUAGUUGGUAGGGUAAAAGCCUACCAAGGCAUCGAUCAGUAGCUGGCCUGAGAGGACGACCAGCCACACUGGGACUGAGACACGGCCCAGACUCCGUACGGGAGCAGCAGGUGGGAAUUUGGACAAGUGGGGCAACCCUGACUCCAGCAAUCGCCGCGUGAGUGAAGAGGCCUUAGGUAGUAAAG